UACAGAGGGUGCGAGCGUUGUUCGGAAUUAUUGGGCGUAAAGGGCGCGUAGGUGGCUGCGUAAGUAAGGUGUGAAAGCCCUCGGCUUACCCGGGGAAUUGCGCCUUAUACUGCGUGGCUUGAGGAUCUCAGGGGAAGGGGGAACUCCGAGUGUAGCGGUGAAAUGCGCAGAUAUUCGGGGGAAGGCCGGCGGCGAAGGCGCCCUUCUGGGAGAUUCCUGACACUGAGGCGCGAAAGCGUGGGGAGCGAGCCGG
rnacentral:rRNA from 1 species